rnacentral:rRNA from 1 species
AACAUGUCUAUAUGAAUUAUAUUAUAAAGUCUAACCUGCCCACUGAGUUUUUAAAGGGCUGCGGUAAUUUGACCGUGCAAAGGUAGCAUAAUCAGUAGUCUUUUAAUUGAAGGCUUGUAUGAAUGGUUGCAUGAAGGAAAAGCUGUCUUUUUUUCAAUUUAAAAUUUGACUUUUAAGUGAAAAGGCUUAAAUUAAUUAGUGGGACGAUAAGACCCUAUAAAACUUUAUAUGUAAUGUAUUCUAUUUUUAAAUUAUUUUAAAAUAUUAUUUAAUAUUUUACAUAUUUCGUUGGGGAGACGUUGAUAUAAAAUGUAACUGUUUAAAUAAAAAAUAUAAUUAUCGUUAUGUUUUGAUCCUUCUUUGUGGAUAAAAAGAAUAAGUUACUUUAGGGAUAACAGCGUAAUUUUUUCUGAGAGUUCUUAUCGAAGAAAGUAGUUGCGACCUCGAUGUUGAAUUAAAAUUUCAGUCAGGUGUAGCCGUCUGAUUAGUAGGUCUGUUCGACCUUUAAAAUUUUACAUGAUUUGAGUUCAAACCGGUGUGAGCCA